UUUAAAUGCAACCAUAAGUUUCCGUACUAAAUUUUAAUCGUCCGUCUUUUUUGAAUUUUUUAUAAUUAGUAUUUUUAUUGUUAUGAGAUGAUAAAAUAUAAAUAGUGCUUUAUACAUGACUUAUAUUUUAAUUUUUUUUAAAAAAAUUAAAUAAGACGGAUGGUUAAAAUUGGGUACGAAAAAUUAUGUAUGCACUUAAA
rfam:Oryza meridionalis cultivar OR44 (W2112) chromosome 3, whole genome shotgun sequence.